rnacentral:rRNA from 1 species
UGGGGAAUAUUGGACAAUGGGCGAAAGCCUGAUCCAGCAACGCCGCGUGAGGGAUGACGGCCUACGGGUUGUAAACCUCUUUCAGCGGGGACGAAGCGCAAGUGACGGUACCCGCAGAAGAAGCACCGGCCAACUACGUGCCAGCAGCCGCGGUAAUACGUAGGGUGCAAGCGUUGUCCGGAAUUAUUGGGCGUAAAGGGCUCGUAGGCGGUCUGUCACGUCGGGAGUGAAAACUCAGGGCUUAACCCUGAGCCUGCUUCCGAUACGGGCAGACUAGAGGUAUGCAGGGGAGAACGGAAUUCCUGGUGUAGCGGUGAAAUGCGCAGAUAUCAGGAGGAACACCGGUGGCGAAGGCGGUUCUCUGGGCAUUACCUGACGCUGAGGAGCGAAAGUGUGGGGAGCGAACAG